GAAGCAUGAAGUAGGGCAAGGUGGGACCCAGAAAGACCUGGGAUCAUGCUCUCUGGGAAUCAGGAUCCCCGGAGGACUGCGCAUGGCUGGGCUGAGCAUCUGCUCAGCUGCCAGAGGGAUCCGGUGAAGAAGAGAGGAAACUUCGUCCUUCACUCUUUCCUGGGCAUCUGCCACAUGCCGAACCCUGUUCUAGAGGAAGGGUCCGAAACCAUUUUCUGUGCGGGGCCAGAGAGAAUAUGUUUCAGACCUUGCAGCAGAAGAGGCAAAACUGGAGAUACCAUGGCUUUGUCGUGUAAAACCGAGACUGUUGGCCGGGCGUGGUGGCUCACACCUCUAAUCCCAGGACUUUGGAAGGCCAAGGAGGGCAGAUCACGAGGUCAGGAGAUCGAGACCAUCCUGGCUAACAUGGUGAAAC